rnacentral:lncRNA from 1 species
CCCACACCACUCCACCACCAUCCCAAUCUACCUCCCGCACACCACCUCGACCUCGAGAAGGUCUUCUUCCCCGGCUCCGACUACCGAUCCGCCACCAGCCUCCCUGAUCAGCACGACACCACCACUCCACCCCCACCUCCAAAAAUCUGCCAGUAGCCCACUGAUCCACCAUGUGAUCAUUUCCGUGCUUCAAUUUGACAACCGGAGCCCUCUCCGGCGAAGCCCACAACCACCCGACACCGUCGUCCGCCGGAGUCAACCUCGUCGUCGUCCUGGUGCUCGCCGGCGACCACCACCACUACCCACCUACGCGGGGUGCCACCCCGAACGCGUCCCGACCAUCGCCGCCUCCUGAAACGCUGGCGAUCGCCGCCGGUGACCACCGCCUCCCCUCUGUGCACGCGCGCGUAAAGCGCGUUUGAAUUUCGAACCUGACGGGUGGGACCGACCCGUCAGUAUUUUGUUCUUUUCUGUUUUUUGGGAAGCGUCUCUCCGAUUUAAGCUUCCUUCUCGGGGAAGCGUAUUCUGGGCGAGGCGUUUUUACUUGUUACCGCCGGGACCCGCUGGCAAUUAUUUUGUUACAGAGAGGUCCCUGGUUUUAAAUCCUUAAUAACUUUUAAACCACACAUCAGUUUCAAUUGUUUCUUUUUCUGAAAUUCUUGUUUUUCACUCUAGUUUAUUUUAGUAUUUUCUUAAAAAUAGUUUGAGACAACUUUUUGUGCGGUUGCAAAAAAGUUGAAUUUGGACUUUCAUUUUCAGAAAGCGAAGAGGGGGACUAUACCGGGAGUUUUGAAGAACCUCUUGCUGAUUACUUUGGUCAAGGCAAGUAUUAUUGGACUUGGGUUAUAGUGAAAUACCUUCCUGGUUGCAUCGGAGUAGUUUUGCACCAUAUAGUAGUGAUAGUGGAAGCAUGCAUCGGUCACGUCAAUUUAAGCACUAUUGCAUGAACCCUGUUGCAUGUCAUGUGAGCACUAUUUCACUCUUCAGGUAUUUUGCUAACGUAUGAAUGUGGAUAGAAUCCAGGAGUGUAUCUCCUGCCUUGGACAUGCCGAUGGGCACGGGCUGUGUCACGACAAGACGGUGUCACUAUGGCAUGUGAGACAUGCCAGUCUUGUAACAAUACCUCCUGAGUCGGCCUAGAAUCGAGUCUUGUUCCUUUAAGCCUAACUACACACCAUGCUGCCACUUGUCUUCCUGCAAGGGGAGUGUGAUUUAGUAAGUUGUUAACCCCUUUCCAUGUAAACACCACUUAGAGAGGCCACGAUGAGGGUUCCACGGCCAUGGACUAAUGCCAGUCAUCGGGUCAGGGGGCAUGGGUGUAUCCGGCUGGGCCGAGAGGGGGGCACCCCUUGUAAUCCGCGUGUAUUAAUAAUGAUUCCAUGCUAUUCGAGACGAUGGUCUCCCCGACUUAGAGUUUUACUUGAAAGAUGCUUUGGGUGAUUCCUGGCGUCCGGAAAGAAAUUCUGGUGUGUGCUGGUCAGGUGUGUUUCCAACCCAAAGAACAUAAUGGAAACUAGUCAAGGUCUAAACAUUGGCUACAGGAAUUCCAUACAUGUGGGUAAAGAGUACACCCUCCGCAGAGUUACAUCUAUUCGAAUAGCCGUGUCCACGGUCAAGGGCACAGUUGGGAAGGGUCAAGUAUCGGUCCCGGUGUCGGUCUUUGGAGGAAAAUAAUUAAAUUGAGCUUGAUCCAUCUUGCAGGGUAAUUAUGGGCACCAUUGAGGCUGCCAUGAAUAUGCAUAUUAUUGAUGUGUUGGACUAACCUAGUUCUCUUAUUCAAUUGUACUGAGUGUCACUUGGGAUGGCUAGACUACCCAUGCACUUAGCUUUAUUUUCUUUUCUUAGUAUCACCUGGGAUGGCUAAACUACCCGGUUACUUAGUUUUAUUUUCAAGACCUUACGUGGCGUCGCUUGAGUUCUCGGGCGGUCUUGUCUUGCCUGACUCUCUUUUAGACACCCGUAUGGCAUUUCUUUUCAAGACCUUACGAGGUGUCGCUUUCAGAUACCUGUUUGGCAUUUUUCCUGGAAUUUCUCGGGCGGUCUAACGCCCGAUGUUCCACUUUAAAUAUCCUAGCUAUCACUACUAUUAUUUGAUUAUUUUUCUACAUCAGAUCGACAUUAUCAUGUCAUGAUUAAUUCCAGUCAACAUGUGCAUUUAGCAUAGCCCAUCAGCAUUUGCAUUCGUUAUGCCUUUUGUUCAUAAUGUUUGCGAGUACAUUCCAACGUACUCACAGGCAUGUCCCUGGCUAUUGUCUUGGCCAGGCCUUGAGGAGGACGAGCUUGCCGAGGAGGACUGCGCUAGCGAGCCCAACGCGUAGAGGUGUUCCAAGUCAGUCACCUAUGGAUUUGGAGUCUACUACGUGUAUCAUCCACUAGUGCCUCCGCUACACGAAUAAAAUAGUCAAGCCUCACUCUGACGCUUGGCUCACUUUAUUGUAUCGGUGCUAUAGCACUGUCACCCACUGUCAUAUUCCACCACCACUUGUUGUACAAGUUUGUACUAGAUUGUAGAGCACUCUGGCUCCACGCGAUGUAAUAUUAUGUGUGUACUGGUUAUAUUUAUCAAGGAAGUCCACCAGCAGUCCUGAUCUUGGGGCUGGUGAGACUUUGGGCUAUUCUGUGAUUUAUUACGAAAGUGAGCCAGACAAACCUUGGUAUCAGAGCCAGGCUGACUAUAGGAAGCCCUAGGUGCGUUAGCUAGUAAUAGGAUCAGUCCUAACAUUUUCUUAGCUUGCAUUUUGUGCAGUGUAACGAAUUCUCCUUAGUCAUCAUAUACCAAUGAUAUGACUAUUUGGAUUUUUGUCUACUGUUGUAGAUGUCUAGCGGCAGUUGUCCGACCCAGAUAUUCGCCAACGAGCCUGCGGGAUUCUCCCGUCUUCUCGUCAUCAUCGGUAGAGUUGCAGUGCGAACGCCAAGCCGUCCAAAGUACACCAUCUUCCCCAACAGGAUCACGGACACCCUGACCAUGUACUAGGCCUCGGUAUAUAUUCGGGGUGAAUCCGCCGAGCCCCACCACAACUAUCGCUUUGUUGGGAGAGUCAUGCCUAGUGAGAGGCAUGCUAUCUAGAUGCUCGCUCGUGAAGCCAUUGCUCGUCUUAGGGACAUCCUUCCAGUCAUGCAGACCCGUCCCUAUCAUUACCUGCCAUGCCAUGUUCCAUACACAAGUCACUAUGCUUUCUCGUGCACUGCGGUAGAAAGGGACGAGGCAAUUGAACCCCUGGUUCAAUAUAUCAUGGCUCUCGAAUCAGUCUUCACCUUACUGGUGGAUGACUAUCUUAUUGUACGAAUGUACUUAGCUCGUGUGAGAGUUCCUCGCAGGAGGGAGCUCCGUUCUCCGUUACCACGUGCUCCACGCAUUCCGACUCCACCAUAUAUCCCUUCUACUUACUCCGCGUUUCGGCGCCCAUCCCCGAGCAAUGAAGCUAGUCGCUUGGUUGCACCCAUUCCCGUUAGAGCGUCACCACCAACAAGCACGGUGCCACUGCGAGCGGACGUGGCAUCAACAACUGCGUGACUGGAGACCAUACACGAGGAGGAUGAGGAGGUCGAAUCUUUAGGACCUCGUCUGGGACUCACACUCAGCAGGGCCUAUGACAUCUCGGAUACUCCUUGAUGGCAGCUAAGGCAGCUACACCAUAACCACCCUUAAGGAGAUGUAGUUGUAAAAUAGUUAUCUUCUGUCUUUGUCUUCCCGUGUAAGAUAGCAAGUAGUAGACUCAGACUGCAGAACGCUAGAAGUUAGAGCAGUGCACUAGUCUUAAUAAGCGGUCAUGUAGUAUACGAUGGUGGCGUGCAUACUGUAUAAUUAGAUCAUGCAUGUACGAUUAAGUCCUUCAUGUAUAAUUAAAACCUACAUGUAUAACAUAUCUUGGUGUACUUGUGUCCUGGGGGGGGGGGUUAUUUUCAGUUUCUUAAAGAUUUGUUUUUCUCCUUUGAAAUUCUCUUCUCAUCGUGUUAAACCAAUACCCCAGAAAGAAAAUGCAUCGCCCCUGGACUCGUUCUAUCCCCAGUCCGCUAGAGGACAGCUUUGCCCGGAUGGGAAACAAUUUCACACCUGGACAGACAAGUCAACAAAGCAAUGACUCUGCGUUUUCACAAGUGUUCCGUCUGUACGAGCAAACUCAGCAACAACACUAGGAAAUGAUGCAGCACUUGAUAAAUAUGGGGAAUCACCAAGGUCAACACCAAUCCAAUUCAAAAUUAUCUAAACUCCAGAAGACCAACCCAACGGUCUUUUCUCACACAGAUAAACCUCUAGAGGCAGACGACUGGCUACGUGACAUUGAAAGGAAAUUGGUCAUAGCCCAGUGUACGGACCAAGAAAAAGUACUAUAUGCUCCGCAUUACUUUUCUGGUACAGCAGCAUCAUGGUGGGAAAAUCUAUGCCACACGCAUCCCAAUGGAGGGGACAUGACCUGGGAGCAAUUCAAGGAAAACUUCCGGGGAGCCCAUAUCCCCAAUAGUAUCAUGAAGUUAAAGAAACGAGAGUUUGAGGAUCACAAGCAACGGGGCACAACGGUUACCCAGUACCUAGACCAAUUUACUCAGCUAGCACGGUAUGCCAAUAAUGAGUACAUGACAGAGAACAAAAGGAUGGAAAAGUUUCUGGACGAACUUGUUCCAUCUCUGAAGUGCCAACUAGUGGUCCACACCUUUCUAGAUUUCAAGACACUGGUAGACAAGGCUAUUAUUCUGGAAAAUGAGCACCACAACCUGAAUGAGAUCCACAAGCGCCGUAUGAACCAGUCAGCACUGGUCCGCAACAACAGGCCCCGAAAUGAGUGGCCUCGAAAUGAAUUUCAGAAGCCUGUGAUACCCCGACCAGCAGUACCGACACCACGAUCGCAACAGAAUCGCAACACUUUCAACAAUUGGGCCAAUGAAAUUGUGUACCGCCCUAGCGUUACUUGCUAUGCCUGUGGUGCGGAAGGGCAUUACGGUAGGCAGUGCCCAAAACAGGGAAAUAAUGCUCCAAGACCCAACAACAACGGCCGCGGGACAAAGGCAGCCCCAUGACACAACAACCCCAAUAACAACCAGAGAGAGGGACAUGUUAAUCAUGUGACGUUUGAGGAAGCCCAGAAUGCACCGGACAUCAUGUUUGGUAUGUUCCCUAUCAACACAAUUAAUGCUACAGUUUUAUUUGAUUCCGGAGCUUCCCAUUCAUGCAUCUCUAAAAGAUUUGCCUUGAAGAAUCAAUUUUCUUACUUGUCGUUGGAAAAUUCAAUGGUUAUUCAGUCCCCGGGAUCAAAGCAGAGUAUGCAAUGGUACUGCAAGGAUGUGAGCAUUAACGUCAAAGGAACAAAGGUUUUAGCCAACCUUAUUGUGUUGGAAGCAGUCGAUCUAGACUUCAUUCUAGGAAUGGACUAGUUGACUGCAAAUAAAGGUUUUAUAGACUGCUACAGCCGUACAGUAACUCUCACAGACUGUCAGGGGAAAACAGUAAAGGUUGGUACAAGGAGAAUUUCCACCUCGCAAGGAAAAUUAAAUCAGGUGGACAUGACAGACUUGAGCAAAGCUCCUGUGGUAUGUGAAUAUCCAGACGUAUUCUCUGAGGAGCUACCAAGCAUGCCACCGGAUCGUGAGAUUGAGUUCGUUAUUGAACUAGCACCCGGAACAGCACCCAUCUAUAAGAAGCCGUAUCGCAUGGCACCAACUGAGUUGGUUGAGCUAAAGAAGCAAAUCAAGGAGUUAUUAGAGAAGGGUUAUGUCCGACCCAGCUCGUCACCAUGGGGAUCACCGGUGGUAUUCGCCAAGAAAAAGGAUGGUACCUUAAGGUUGUGUAUUGAUUAUAGGGCACUCAACCUGGUCACCAUCAAAAAUAAAUAUCCACCACCACAAAUCAAUGACUUGUUCGACCAACUGGCUGAAGCCAAGGUGUUCUCAAAAAUAGACUUGAUAUUAGGCUACCACCAAUUAAGGAUCUGACCAUCAGAUCUACCAAAGACUGCCUUUACCACCCGAUAUGGAUUAUAUGAGUUCACUCUGAUGCCUAUUGGAUUAACCAAUGCUCCUGCUUAUUUUGUACACCUCAUGAACAAGGUCUUUAUGAAAUACUUGGAUAAGUUUGUGGUUGUGUUCAUUGAUGAUAUACUUAUUUAUUCCAAGACACCAUAAGAACAUGAGCGACAUCUUCGAAUAGUCCUCGAGGAAUUACGGAAAAAUCAACUCUAUGCCAAAUUCAGUAAGUGUGAAUUUUGGUUACGAGAAGUUGGCUUUCUAGGGCAUGUUCUGACAUAGGAUGGAAUAGUAGUCGACCCAAGCAAAGUAAAAGAUGUCUUGGGAUGGAAGCAACCCACCAGCGUAACAAAAGUUAGAAGUUUUCUUGGUUUGGCUGGCUACUACCGACGAUUUAUUGAAGGGUUCUCCACUAUAGCCAAACCCAUGACUCAGUUGCUCAAGAAAGGUAAAAAGUUUGAAUGGACCGAAGCAUGCGAGAAAAGUUUCCAGGAAUUAAAGAAGAGAUUAACAACUACACCCGUUCUGACAGUGCCAUAUGUACACAAAAAAAUUUGAUAUAUACUGAGACGCAUCCGGAAAGGGCAUUGGGUGUGUCUUAAUGCAAGAGAGAAAAAUCGUAGCGUAUGCUUCAAGGAAACUAUGAUGACACGAAGAGAAUUAUCCUACCCAUGACUUGGAAUUGGCAGCCGUGAUACAUGCACUCAAGGAAUGACGGCAUUACCUUCUUGGUAACCGAUGUGAAAUAUACACGGAUCACAAAAGCCUUAAGUAUAUCUUCACCCAGCCAGAACUGUGUUGGAAAUAUGCCCUAGAGGCAAUAAUAAAUGGAUUAUUAUUAUAUUUCCUUGUUCAUGAUAAUUGUCUUUUAUUCAUGCUAUAAUUGUAUUAUCUGGAAAUCGUAAUACACGUGUGAAUACAUAGACCACAAUACGUCCCUAGUAAGCCUCUAGUUGACUAGCUCGUUGGUCAACAGAUAGUCAUGGUUUCCUGACUAUGGACAUUAGAUGUCAUUGACAAUGGGAUCACGUCAUUAGGAGAAUGACGUGAUGGACAAGACCCAAUCCUAAGCAUAGCACAAGAUCGUGUAGUUCGUUUUGCUAGAGCUUUUCCAAUGUCAAGUAUCUCUUCCUUAGACCAUGAGAUCGUGUAACUCCCAGAUACCAUAGAAGUGCUUUGGGUGUACCAAACGUCACAACGUAACUGGGUGACUAUAAAGGUGCACUACAGGUAUCUCCGAAAGUGUCUGUUGGGUUGACACGGAUCGAGACUGGGAUUUGUCACUCCGGAUUACGGAGAGGUAUCACUGGGCCCACUCGGUAGUGCAUCAUCAUAAUGAGCUCAAAGUGACCAAGUGUCUGGUCACGGGAUCAUGCAUUACGGUACGAGUAAAGUGACUUGCCGGUAACGAGACUGAACGAGGUAUUGGGAUACCAACGAUCGAGUCUCGGGCAAGUAACAUACCGUCUGACAAAGGGAAUAGUAUACAGGGUUGGUUGAAUCCUCGACAUCGUGGUUCAUCCGAUGAGAUCAUCGAGGAGCAUGUGGGAGCCAACAUGGGUAUCCAGAUCCCGCUGUUGGUUAUUGACUGGAAAACCAUCUCGGUCAUGUCUGCAUGUCUCCCGAACCCGUAGGGUCUACACACUUAAGGUUCGGUGACGCUAGGGUUAUAAGGAAGACUUGUAUGUGAUUACCGAAUGUUGUUCGGAGUCCCGGAUGAGAUCCCGGACGUCACGAGGAGUUCCGGAAGGGUUCGGAGGUGAAGAUUUAUAUAUGGGAAGUUGUCAUACGGACACCGGAAAGUUUCGGGGACAUAUCGGUAUUGUACCGGGGCCACCGGAAGGGUUCCGGGGGUCCACCGGGAGGGGCCACCCCUCUUGGUGGGCCACAUGGGCCGCGUGGGUCAGGGCACCAGGCCCUGGAGGGCUGGGCGCCCCCCCUUGGGCCCAUGCGCCUAGGGUUGGGGGGGGAACCCUAGUGGGGGCGCACCCCCCUUGCUUGGGGGGCAAGCCCCCCUCCCUGGCCGCCGCCCCCCCUCUAGAUCUCAUCUAGAGGGGGCCGGGCCCCUUCCCCCUUCCCUUAUAAAUAGAGGGGCGAGGGGAGGGCUGAACACCUGAUCCAAGGUGCAGCCCCUCCCCUCCCCAACACCUCUCCUCCUCCGUUGAGCGCUUGGCGAAGCCCUGUCGGAGUACUGCCUCUCCACCAUCAUCACGCUGUCGUGCUGCUGCUGGAGCCUUCUUCCUCAACCUCUCCUUCCCCCUUGCUGGAUCAAGAAGGAGGAGACGUCGUCCGUACCGUACGUGUGUUGAACGCGGAGGUGCUGUCCGUUCAGCACUUGGUCAUCGGUGAUCUGGAUCACGGCGAGUACGAAUCCAUCAUCACCGUUCCCUCGAACACUUCCGUACGCGAUCUACAAAGUGGUAUGUAGAUGCAAUCUCUCUCCCAUGACUCGUUGCUUAGAUGAACUCAUAGAUGGAUCUUGGUGAAACCGUAGGAAAAAAUUUAAUUUUCUGCAAUGUUCCCCAACAGUGGCAUCAUGAGCUAGGUCUAUGCGUAGUUCUCUAUUGUACGAGUAGAACACAAUUUUUUUGUGGGCGUAGAUCUUGUCAACUUGCUUGCCGCUACUAGUCUUUUCUUGCUUCAGCGGUAUUGUGGGAUGAAGCGGCCCGGACCGACCUUACACGUACGCUUACGUGAGACAGGUUCCACCGACUGACAUGCACUAGUUGCAUAAGGUGGCUAGCGGGUGUCUGUCUCUCCUACUUUAGUUGGAGCGGAUUAGAUGAAAAGGGUCCUUAUGAAGGGUAAAUAGAAGUUGACAAAAUCACGUUGUGGUUAUUCGUAGGUAAGAAAACGUUCUUGCUAGAACCCAAUUGCAGCCACGUAAAAGAUGCAACAACAAUUAGAGGACGUCUAACUUGUUUUUGCAGCAAUUGUCAUGUGAUGUGAUAUGGCCAGAAGUUGUGAUGAAUGAUGAAUGAUAUAUUGUGAUGUAUGAGAUCAUGUUCUUGUAAUAGGAAAUACGACUUGCAUGUCGAUGAGUAUGACAACCGGCAGGAGCCAUAGGAGUUGUCUUUAUUUUUGUAUGACCUGCGUGUCAUUGAAGAACGCCAUGUAAAUUACUUUACUUUAUUGCUAAACGCGUUAGCCAUAGAAGUAGAAGUAGUCGUUGGCGUGACAACUUCAUGAAGACACAAUGAUGGAGAUCAUGAUGAUGGAGAUCAUGGUGUCAUGCCGGUGACGAAGAUGAUCAUGGAGCCCCAAAGAUGGAGAUCAAAGGAGCUAUAUGAUAUUGGCCAUAUCAUGUCACUACUAUAUAAUUGCAUGUGAUGUUUAUUAUGUUUUAUGCAUCUUGUUUACUUAGAACGGCGGUAGUAAAUAAGAUGAUCCCUUAUAAUAAUUUCAAUAAAGUGUUCCCCCUAACUGUGCACCAUUGCUAAAGUUCGUCGUUUCGAAGCACCACGUGAUGAUCGGGUGUGAUAGAUCCUUACGUUCACAUACAACGGGUGUAAGACAGAUUUACACAUGCAGAACACUUAGGGUUAACUUGACGAGCCUAGCAUGUACUGACAUGGCCUCGGAACACAGAGACCAAAAGGUCGAACAUGAGUCGUAUGGAAGAUACGAUCAACAUGGAGAUGUUCACCGAUGAUGACUAGUCCGUCUCACGUGAUGAUCGGACACGGCCUAGUCGACUCGGAUCGUGUAACACUUAGAUGACUAGAGGGAUGUCUAAUCUGAGUGGGAGUUCAUUAAAUAAUUUGAUUAGAUGAACUUAAUUAUCAUGAACUUAGUCUAAAACUUUUGCAAAAUAUGUCUUGUAGAUCAAAUGGCCAACGCUCAUGUCAACAUGAACUUCAACGCGUUCCUAGAGAAAACCAAGCUGAAAGAUGAUGGCAGCAACUAUUCGGACUGGGUCUGGAACUUGAGGAUCAUCCUCAUAGCAGCCAAGAAAGACUAUGUCCUAGAUGCACCGCUAGGUGAAGCACCCAUCCUAGAGAACCAAGACAUUAUGAACACUUGGCAAUCACGUGCCGAUGAUUACUCCCUCGUUCAGUGCGGCAUGCUUUACAGCUUAGAACCACGGCUCCGAAAGCGUUUUGAGAAGCACGGAGCAUAUGAGAUGUUCGAGGAGCUGAAAAUGGUUUUCCAAGCUCAUGCCCGGGUCGAGAGAUAUGAAGUCUCCGACAAGUUCUAUAGUUGUAAGAUGGAGGAAAACAGUUCCGUCAGUGAGCACAUACUCAAAAUGUCUGGGUUGCACAACCGCCUGUCCCAGUUGGAGAUCAACCUCCCGGAAGAGGCGGUCAUUGACAGAAUCCUUCAGUUGCUCCCACCGAGCUACAAGAGCUUUGUGUUGAACUACAAUAUGCAGGGGAUGGUGAAUACCAUUCCUGAAGUAUUCUCAAUGCUGAAGUCAGCAGAGGUUGAAAUCAAGAAAGAACAUCAAGUGUUGAUGGUCAAUAAGACCACUAAGUUCAAAAAGGGCAAGGGUAAGAAGAACUUCAAGAAGGACGGCAAAGAUGUUGCCGCGCCCGGUAAGCCAGUUGCCGGGAAGAAGUCAAAGAAUGGACCCAAGCCUGAAACUGAGUGCUUUUAUUGCAAGGGGAAGGGUCACUGGAAGCGGAACUGCCCCAAAUACUUAGCGGACAAGAAGGCCGGCAACACUAAAGGUAUAUUUGAUAUACAUGUAAUUGAUGUGUACCUUACUAGUACUCGUAGUAACUCCUGGGUAUUUGAUACUGGUGCCGUCGCUCACAUUUGUAACUCACAGCAGGAGCUGCGGAAUAAGCGGAGACUGGCGAAGGAUGAGGUGACGAUGCGCGUCGAGAAUGGUUCCAAGGUCGAUGUGAUCGCCGUCGGCACGCUACCUCUACAUUUACCUACGGGAUUAGUUUUAAACCUCAAUAAUUGUUAUUUAGUGCCAAGUUUGAGCAUGAACAUUGUAUCUGGAUCUCGUUUGAUACGAGAUGGCUACUCAUUUAAAUCCGAGAAUAAUGGUUGUUCUAUUUAUAUGAGAGAUAUGUUUUAUGGUCAUGCCCCGAUGGUCAAUGGUUUAUUCUUAAUGAAUCUCGAACGUAAUGUUACACAUAUUCAUAGUGUGAAUACCAAAAGAUGUAAAGUUGAUAACGAUAGUCCCACAUACUUGUGGCACUGCCGCCUUGGUCACAUUGGUGUCAAGCGCAUGAAGAAGCUCCAUGCUGAUGGACUUUUAGAGUCUCUAGAUUAUGAAUCAUUUGACACAUGCGAACCAUGCCUCAUGGGCAAAAUGACCAAGACCCCGUUCUCCGGAACAAUGGAGCGAGCAACCAACUUGUUGGAAAUCAUACAUACCGAUGUGUGCGGUCCAAUGAGCGUUGAGGCUCGCGGAGGAUAUCGUUAUGUUCUCACUCUCACUGAUGACUUGAGUAGAUAUGGGUAUGUCUACUGGAUGAAACACAAGUCUGAAACCUUUGAAAAGUUCAAGGAAUUUCAGAAUGAAGUAGAGAAUCAACGUGACCGAAAGAUAAAGUUCUUACGAUUGGAUCAUGGAGGAGAAUAUUUAAGUCACGAAUUUGGUACACACUUAAGAAAAUGUGGAAUCGUUUCACAACUCACGCCGCCUGGAACACCUCAGCGUAACGGUGUGUCCGAACGUCGUAAUCGCAUUCUAUUGGAUAUGGUGCGAUCUAUGAUGUCUCUUACCGAUUUACCGCUAUCAUUUUGGGGAUACGCUCUAGAGACAGCUACAUUCACUUUAAAUAGGGCACCGUCUAAAUCCGUUGAGACGACACCGUAUGAAUUAUGGUUUGGGAAGAAACCUAAGCUGUCGUUUCUAAAAGUUUGGGGAUGCGAUGCUUAUGUCAAGAAACUUCAACCUGAAAAGCUCGAACCCAAGUCGGAAAAAUGCAUCUUCAUAGGAUACCCUAAGGAAACCAUUGGGUAUACCUUCUACUUAAGAUCCGAGGGCAAGAUCUUUGUUGCCAAGAACGGAUCCUUUCUGGAAAAAGAGUUUCUCUCAAAAGGAGUAAGUGGGUGGAAAGUAGAACUCGAUGAAGUACUACCUCUUGAACCGGAAAGUAGUGCAGCUCAGGAAAACGUUCCUGUGGUGCCUACACCGACUGGAGAGGAAAUUAAUGAUGAUGAUCAAGGUACUUCUGAUCAAGUUGCUACUGAACUUCGUAGGUCCACAAGGACACGUUCCACACCAGAGUGGUAUGGCAACCCUGUCCUGGAAAUCAUGUUGUUAGACAACGGUGAACCUUCGAACUAUGAAGAAGCGAUGGCGGGCCCAGAUUCCAACAAAUGGCUAGAAGCCAUGAAAUCCGAGAUAGAAUCCAUGUAUGAAAACAAAGUAUGGACUUUGACUGACUUGCCCGAUGAUCGGCGAGCGAUAGAUAACAAAUGGAUCUUUAAGAAGAAGACGGACGCGGAUGGUAAUGUCACCAUCUAUAAAGCUCGACUUGUCGCUAAGGGUUAUCGGCAAGUUCAAGGGAUUGACUACGAUGAGACUUUCUCUCCCGUAGCGAAGCUUAAGUCCGUCCGAAUCAUGUUAGCAAUUGCCGCAUACUAUGAUUAUGAGAUAUGGCAGAUGGACGUCAAAACGGCAUUCCUUAACGGGCAUCUUAAGGAAGAACUGUAUAUGAUGCAGCCGGAGGGUUUUGUCGAUCCUAAGAAUGCUAACAAAGUGUGCAAGCUCCAGCGAUCCAUUUAUGGGCUGGUGCAAGCAUCUCGGAGUUGGAACAUUCGUUUUGAUGAGAUGAUCAAAGCGUUUGGGUUUAUGCAGACUUACGGAGAAGCCUACGUUUACAAGAAAGUGAGUGGGAGCUCUGUAGCAUUUCUCAUAUUAUAUGUAGAUGACAUACUUUUGAUGGGAAAUGAUAUAGAAUUCUUGGAUAGCAUUAAGGCCUACUUGAAUAAGUGUUUUUCAAUGAAGGACCUUGGAGAAGCUGCUUACAUAUUAGGCAUCAAGAUCUAUAGGGAUAGAUCGAGACGCCUCAUAGGUCUUUCACAAAGCACAUACCUUGAUAAGAUUUUGAAGAAGUUCAAAAUGGAUCAGUCCAAGAAAGGGUUCUUGCCUGUACUGCAAGGUGUGAGAUUGAGCUCGGCUCAAUGCCCGACCACGGCAAAAGAUAAAGAAGAGAUGAGCGUCAUCCCCUAUGCCUCAGCCAUAGGAUCUAUUAUGUAUGCCAUGCUGUGUACCAGACCUGAUGUAAACCUUGCCGUAAGUUUGGUAGGAAGGUACCAAAGUAAUCCAGGCAAGGAACACUGGACAACGGUCAAGAAUAUCCUGAAGUACCUGAAAAGGACAAAGGACAUGUUUCUCGUUUAUGGAGGUGACGAAGAGCUCGUCGUAAAGGGUUACGUCGACGCUAGCUUCGACACAGAUCUGGAUGACUCUAAGUCACAAACCGGAUACGUGUAUAUGUUGAAUGGUGGAGCAGUAAGCUGGUGCAGCUGCAAGCAGAGCGUCGUGGCGGGAUCUACAUGUGAAGCGGAGUACAUGGCAGCCUCGGAGGUAGCGCAUGAAGCAAUUUGGGUGAAGGAGUUCAUCACCGACCUAGGAGUCAUACCCAAUGCGUCGGGGCCGGUCAAACUCUUCUGUGACAACACUGGAGCUAUUGCCCUUGCCAAGGAGCCCAGGUUUCACAAGAAGACCAGGCACAUCAAGCGUCGCUUCAACUCCAUCCGUGAAAAUGUUCAAGAUGGAGACAUAGAUAUUUGCAAAGUACAUACGGAUCUAAAUGUCGCAGAUCCGUUGACUAAACCUCUCUCGCGAGCAAAACAUGAUCAACACCAGAACUCUAUGGGUGUUCGAUUCAUCACAAUGUAACUUGAUUAUUGACUCUAGUGCAAGUGGGAGACUAUUGGAAAUAUGCCCUAGAGGCAAUAAUAAAUGGAUUAUUAUUAUAUUUCCUUGUUCAUGAUAAUUGUCUUUUAUUCAUGCUAUAAUUGUAUUAUCCGGAAAUCGUAAUACACGUGUGAAUACAUAGACCACAAUACGUCCCUAGUAAGCCUCUAGUUGACUAGCUCGUUGGUCAACAGAUAGUCAUGGUUUCCUGACUAUGGACAUUAGAUGUCAUUGACAACGGGAUCACGUCAUUAGGAGAAUGACGUGAUGGACAAGACCCAAUCCUAAGCAUAGCACAAGAUCGUGUAGUUCGUUUUGCUAGAGCUUUUCCAAUGUCAAGUAUCUCUUCCUUAGACCAUGAGAUCGUGUAAAUCCCGGAUACCGUAGAAGUGCUUUGGGUGUACCAAACGUCACAACGUAACUAUGUGACUAUAAAGGUGCACUACAGGUAUCUCCGAAAGUGUCUGUUGGGUUGACACGGAUCGAGACUGGGAUUUGUCACUCCGGAUUACGGAGAGGUAUCACUGGGCCCACUCGGUAGUGCAUCAUCAUAAUGAGCUCAAAGUGACCAAGUGUCUGGUCACGGGAUCAUGCAUUACGGUACGAGUAAAGUGACUUGCCGGUAACGAGACUGAACGAGGUAUUGGGAUACCAACGAUCGAGUCUCGGGCAAGUAACAUACCGUCUGACAAAGGGAAUAGUAUACAGGGUUGGUUGAAUCCUCGACAUCGUGGUUCAUCCGAUGAGAUCAUCGAGGAGCAUGUGGGAUCCAACAUGGGUAUCCAGAUCCCGCUGUUGGUUAUUGACCGGAGAACCAUCUCGGUCAUGUCUGCAUGUCUCCCGAACCCGUAGGGUCUACACACUUAAGGUUCGGUGACGCUAGGGUUAUAAGGAAGACUUGUAUGUGAUUACCGAAUGUUUUUCGGAGUCCCGGAUGAGAUCCCGGACGUCACGAGGAGUUCCGGAAGGGUUCGGAGGUGAAGAUUUAUAUAUGGGAAGUUGUCAUACGGACACCGGAAAGUUUCGGGGACAUAUCGGUAUUGUACCGGGGCCACCGGAAGGGUUCCGGGGAUCCACCGGGAGGGGCCACCCCUCUUGGUGGGCCACAUGGGCCGCGUGGGGCAGGGCACCAGCCCCUGGAGGGCUGGGCGCCCCCCCUUGGGCCCAUGCGCCUAGGGUUGGGGGGGGGAACCCUAGUGGGGGCGCACCCUCCUUGCUUGGGGGGCAAGCCCCCUCCCUGGCCGCCGCNNNNNNNNNNNNNNNNNNNNNNNNNNNNNNNNNNNNNNNNNNNNNNNNNNNNNNNNNNNNNNNNNNNNNNNNNNNNNNNNNNNNNNNNNNNNNNNNNNNNNNNNNNNNNNNNNNNNNNNNNNCCUUCCCCUAUAAAUAGAGGGGCGAGGAGAGGGCUGAACACCUAAUCCAAGGCGCAGCCCCUCCCCUCCCCAACACCUCUCCUCCUCCGUUGACCGCUUGGCGAAGCCCUAUCGGAAUACUGCCUGUUCACCAUCAUCACGCCGUCGUGCUGCUGCUGGAGCCUUCUUCCUCAAUCUCUCCUUCCCCCUUGCUGGAUCAAGAAGGAGGAGACGUCGUUCGUACCGUACGUGUGUUGAACGCGGAGGUGCGUUCAGCACUUGGUCAUCGGUGAUCUGAAUCACGGCGAGUAUGACUCCAUCAUCACCGUUCCCUCGAACGCUUCCGUACGCGAUCUACAAAGUGGUAUGUAGAUGCAAUCUCUCUCCCAUGACACGUUGCUUAGAUGAACUCAUAGAUGGAUCUUGGUGAAACCGUAGGAAAAUUUUUAAUUUUCUACAACGUUCCCCAACAAACUAAACCUACGGCAACGCCGCUGGCUAGAAUUAAUUAAGGACUAUGAUGUGGGGAUUCAUUACCACCCGGGUAAAGCAAAUGUUGUGGCAGACGCUCUCAGUCGAAAUCCAUGCAUCGACAAUGAUGGUGUGCGAUUUCCACAGCAUGAGUUCAACCAGGAGUUUGCCAAACUCAACAUGGUUCUAGUCACGGAAGGAACUGUUGCUCAACUAGAAGUAAAAGCCACAUUGGAAUCUCAUAUCAAAGAAGCUCAGAAAGGACACCCCAGCAUUGAAGGAAUUAAAAGGAAGGUAAACUUAGGCAAGGCAUCUGAGUUUACCAUUGAUGGGCAAGGAAUCCUAUGGUACAGAAGAAGGCUAUGCGUGCCCGACAAAGAAGAGAUCAAGCAACAAAUUUUGGUAGAAGCCCAUACAACACCAUACUCCAUUCACCCAGGAGGAACCAAAAUGUACAAGGAUUUACAGAAGGACUUCUGGUGGCACGGGAUGAAAAGAGAUAUAGAUGUGUAUGUUACACAGUGUGACUCAUGUCAGCGUAUAAAGGCAGAACAUCAGAGGCCAGCAGGAUUGUUGCAGCCACACAGAGUACCGGAAUGGAAGUGGGACGAAAUAGGAAUGGCUUUUAUUGUCGGAUUACCGAGAUCACGACAUGGGAAUGAUGCUAUCUGGGUUAUCACGGAUUUAUUAACCAAGGGGGCACAUUUCAUUCCGGUAAAAGCAACAUGUAACGCCCCGGAUCCGAUGCGCCAGAUGUCUGCCAGUUAUUCGCUGUUGUUGCCAUGUCAUUUGCUUGCGUGUUGCAUUUUAUCAUGUCAUCAUGUGCAUUUCAUUUUGCAUGCGUGCUCGUCUCAUGCAUCCGAGCCUUUUCCCCGUUGUCCGUUUUGCAAUCCGGCGCUCCUAUGCCCUCUGGCGUUCCCCUUUCGUCUCUCGUUCUGAGCGGGUGUUAAACGUUCUCGGAAUGGACCGAGUCUUGCCAAGCGGCCUUGGUAUAACACCGGUAGACCGCCUGUCAAGUUUCGUGUCAUUUGGAGGUCGCUUGAUACUCCAACGGUUAACCGGGUAACCGUAAAGCCCCUCUCUCUUUGUAGCCCAACACCUCUUCCAAACUGGCCCAAAACCCAUCUAACUCCCCUCCAUGCUCUCGGCCGUUCGAUCACGAUCGCAUGGCCGAAAACCGCUCCUCAUUUGGACUCUCCUAUCUCCCUCUAUCUAUAAAUAGGUCCUCCCCCCCCCGAAAUUCGCGGAUGAUUCCUCCCGAAACCCUAAAAAUCCCCUCUCCGCGCGCCAGACAUGUCCGAUCUNNNNNNNNNNNNNNNNNNNNNNNNNNNNNNNNNNNNNNNNNNNNNNNNNNNNNNNNNNNNNNNNNNNNNNNNNNNNNNNNNNNNNNNNNNNNNNNNNNNNNNNNNNNNNNNNNNNNNNNNNNNNNNNNNNNNNNNNNNNNNNNNNNNNNNNNNNNNNNNNNNNNNNNNNNNNNNNNNNNNNNNNNNNNNNNNNNNNNNNNNNNNNNNNNNNNNNNNNNNNNNNNNNNNNNNNNNNNNNNNNNNNNNNNNNNNNNNNNNNNNNNNNNNNNNNNNNNNNNNNNNNNNNNNNNNNNNNNNNNNNNNNNNNNNNNNNNNNNNNNNNNNNNNNNNNNNNNNNNNNNNNNCGCAGCUGCGCGAGCGCCUCCACGCCUCGCUCCGCGGCCCCGCCGCCUCCACUUCCGAGCUCCUCCGUCGCCGGACCCCGCCUCCACCAGACCCCGCCGCCGGUCGCCCUUCGCCGUCCCGGCCUCAUCGUCGCCUGGAUCCGGGGGCGCCAUGCCUGGAUCUGGCCGCCCCCGCCGCCGUCCUGCCGCCCCUUCGCCGCCCCACCCUUCCCGGAGUCGCCGCCGCCCUUGCCCCGAUCCAGGCGGGAUCGGGAGGACGAGCGCCCGCUCGUGGGCCCCGCCCGGCCCAUCCGCGUCCGGCCCAGCCCCGGCCUGCUGCCUCCCAGGCCCAAGCCGGUCUUCCUCCUUCCCCUUCUGGGCCUGGCCCGCUAGGUGAGCCCGCCUAAAAUCCGCCCGGUCAUGUCUUAGUUAUAUUGCGCUCGUCCGGUAUUUUUCAAAAAAAUGACUAAGUCCCAGAUUUUUGUCAUUAUCAUGCCAUAUUCAUCAUGUUGUAUGUCUGCAUCCGUAGCUUCGUUUUGCGCGUGUAAUAUGUCAAAUUGUUCACCUCGAUGAGUACAUCAUUUCAUUCCAUUUCAUCAUGUUCAUUUGAGGUCAUCUAGAUACCUGAAUCAUCGUUGUAAGAGUGCUUCAUAAUGUUUUCUGCUGUCUGUUAACAGAACGAGCUCUUUUGUCAUUUUUGCCAUGUUUGAUGCGUGCAUCCUAUGAGGUUGAUGUCUACAUGUGUUUUGAUCUAUGCCAUGUCUUAUUUACAGUGGUGUUUACCAUGUAUUUUUGUGAUCAAUGUAGUGAUUAGCACAAGCAUGCAAACUAGGCAUCGUGAUGUUGCUGAUUUUAGUCCCUGUUCUGCUGUUAUUUUGAUGCCAUGUAAACUUGAUGCUACAGAGAGAUCCAUGCAUAUUUUGAGAUACUUCAGUAAGGAUGUUUUGAACAUAUGGUUAUUUUCUAUCCAUUCAUGCCCUUUGUUGCAAUUAUGGAGUAGUCUAGCAUGUCAUUUUCGUGCUCUACUUUUGCUUCAAAAUGUUUCCUGGCAGAUUGUUUACUUGUUAUUCAAUUUUGCCAAGGUUCCUAUAGUUUAUCCUUGCAUGCUAUAGACUUGUUCUUGACUUGGUUUGUUUCACAAACAUGUCUUCUUGAUGAUGCUAUGCUUAUCUUGUAAUUCAAUGACUUGUGGUGAGUGAAUCGAGCUUGUUAAGUAGGGUACAUGAUGUUGCUGUUUUGCUAGGCUGAAUCUGUUAUUUCGUGAUGCUAUAUAAACAUGUUGCUACUAAUCAUUCUAUGCAUAAUCUGGAGAUGUUCUAUAAACAUGUUUUGAUCUACAUGUCAUCCUCUAUCCAUACAUGCCCCUGGUUGCAUUUAUAGGUUGCUUUAGCUUAUUGUAAUCUUGCUCUGAAGUUGCUUCAUAAUGUUGCUGUCAGCCUGUUAACAUCAAGUUCAGUUGUUUCCAUGUGUUUUCCUAGUGAUCCAUGCACCCUAUUAACUUGCUAUUGCCAUGCUUAGCUUCACAAAUAUGUCUUCUUACUGUUGGGUGCCUUGCCAUGCCAUGUAUUUCUCUGUAGUGAGUGGUACAAGCUCAUUUACAUGCCUUCAUAAUUCUGUUUCUGCCAUGUAUGAAUCUGUAAUAUAACUUGCUAUGUUUACGUGGGUGCCAUCAAAUUUUGUGAUCCUUUUUGGCUUAUGGUCAGUAAAGGACUUUUGAUCUAUGCUUUGAGUAGAAUCAUGCCAUGCCUUUGUUUGCCAUUAUAAGUUCUUGUAACAUGUUGUUUGAUAGCUCUAAACAUUGCAUCGUGAUGUUGUUUUCUGCAAAGUCUGAAAUUGUUAUAACUUGCAAUCUUACCAUGUGUAUUUGAGCAUGUUCUAGUGAUUUCUGGAGAUAGCUCAGUGUUCAUGUUUUGUUAUGCUUUACCUGUACAUCAUGCCCAUGCCUUUUGUUUUCUUGUUAAGGUGUUGUAGCAUUGUUUUGAUGCUUGCAAUAUGCCUAGUUGCUGUUUUGGACAGCUCAUCCUUUAAACUUGUAUAGUGUGUGUAUGUUGAACCGUUGCUCCGUUUUGAGUGUGCUCUAUAUGAAACUUGCUUGAUUUUGCAUGUAGUUUCAUAUUAUCAUGUUGCACCCUUGUUUUGAGGUGUUUGCUUGAUGUUUGUAUGCAUUUUGCAUCGAUGCCAUGUCUAACUUGUUUUGCUCAUAUCUUCUAGGCCGUAACUCCGAACUAAAUGAACUUUAUAUGAAACUUGACUAGAAUCUCGUGUAGAUCAUCCUUGUGAACUUUAACUUUCUAUUUAACAACUUGAACAUAAGGUUUAUUCAUAUCUGGACCAAUUUCGAAAUACGCAUAUGAGGACUUACCGGAAUUGUUAUAUGUUGUUCCCGGCCUCAUUUAAACUUGCCUUGAUGUGUUGCUCUUGUUUGCAUCAUCCCUUGCCAUGAGUAGCUUCAUGUAGUCUUGUCAUGCAUCAUGCUUGUUGUGCAUCAUGUCAUGUUCAUGUGUGGUGUGUUUACCGUGGUGUGUGCUUCUUCUUGUUAGUUCCUGUUCCGUUACGAUCGUGAGGAUUCGUUCGUCUACGCUUGGUUCGGCUUCAUCCGUUCGUCUUCUUCAUGGACUCGUUCUUCUUCGUUGCGGGAUUUCAGGCAAGAUGACCGCUACCCUGGAUCUCACUACUAUCAUUGCUGCUAGUUGCUUCGUUCUAUCGCUAUGCUGCGUUACCUAUCUUUUGCUCUUCAAGCGUCCCAUAUUGCCAUGAACCUCUAACCUUUGACAUCUUUCCUAUGCAAACCGUUGUUUGGCUAUGUUACCGCUUUGCUCAGCCCUCUUAUAGCGUUGCUAGUUGCAGGUGAAGUUGAAGAUUGCUCCAUGGUGGACAGGAUUUUGGUUGGGAUAUCACAAUAUCUCUUAUAUUAUUAAUGCAUCUAUAUAUUUGGUAAAGGGUGGAAGACUCGUCCUUUUUCCUGGUGUUUUGUUCCACUCUUGCCGCCCUAGUUUCCGUCAUACCGGUGUUAUGUUCCCGGAUUUUGCGUUCCUUACGCGGUCGGGUGAUUUAUGGGACCCCCUUGACAGUUUGCUUUGAAUAAAACUCCUCCAGCAAGGCCCAACAUUGGUUUUACCAUUUGCCUCACCACCACCUACUUUUCCCUUGGGAGUCGCUCUCUCGAGGGUCAUCCUUAUUAUAGCCCCCCCCCCCGGGCCAGUGCUUGUCUAAGUGUUGGUCCAAACUAGAGCACCGUGCGGGGCCAUCCCUUGGCAACUUGGGUUACGUCGGUUCCUGUACGCUUCGCUUAUCUGGUGUUGCCCUGAGAACGAGAUAUGUGCAGCUCCUAUCGGGAUUUUCGGCGCAUCGGGCGGUCUUGCUGGUCUUGUUUUACCAUUGUCGAAAUGUCAUGUAAACCGGGAUUCCGAGUCUGAUCGGGUCUUCCUGGGAGAAGGUCUAUUCCUUCGUUGAUCGCGAGAGCUUAUCGUGGGCUAAGUUGGGACACCCCUGCAGGGUAUAAUCUUUCGAAAGUCGUGCCUGCGGUUAUAGGCAGAUGGGAAUUUGUUAAUGUCCGGUUGUAGAUAACUUGACACCAGAUCCGAAUUAAAACGUAUCAACCGCGUGUGUAGCCGUGAUGGUCUCUUUUCGGCGGAGUCCGGGAAGUGAACACGGUUUCUGGGUUAUGUUUGACGUAAGUAGGAGUUCAGGAUCACUUCUUGAUCAUUGCUAGUUUCACGACCGUUCCGCUUGUUCUCUUCUCGCUCUUAUUUGCGUAUGUUAGCCACCUUAUCAUGCUUAGUCGCUGCUGCUGCCUCACCACUUUACCCCUUCCUUUCCUUUAAGCUUUGCUAGUCUUGAUACCCAUGGUAAUGGGAUUGCUGAGUCCUCAUGGCUCACAGAUUACUACAACAACAGUUGCAGGUACAGGUUCAUGCGAUGAUCAUGACGCGAGAGCGAUGCUUGCUUGCGUUGAGUUCUUCUUCUACUUCUUCGAUCAUGGGAUAGGUUCCAGGUCGGCAGCCUGGGCUAGCAGGGUGGAUGUCGUUUGAGUUUCUGUUUGUGUUUCAUCCGUAGUCGGAUGGUGCUCUGAUGUAUCAUGAUGUUGUAUUCGUGUGGCUUUGUAUGUCUUAUGUAUGUAUCCCCAUCUAUUUUGUAAUGUUGAUGUAAUGAUAUCCACCUUGCAAAAGCGUUUCAAUAUGCGGGUCUAUCCUUGGUGGGACCUUCGAGUUCCUUUCGGAUAGGGUCACAUAUUGGGCGUGACAAGUUGGUAUUAGAGCCUCGACCGACCCUAGGAGCCCCCUUGAUUGAUCGUGUAGUUUGGCCAUUGUUGAGUCUAGAAUAAACUAUUUUUUCAGAGUCUAGUUAUAUCGGAGAGUUGGAAUUCUUUUUACUCCUCAGUCCCUUCGUCGCUCUGGUGAGGAAUCUUGACGUAGGUGUUUUGAAUUACUCCUCUUCCCUUUCAAAUUUUCUUUAGGAUCACGCAGUUGGUUUUCCAAUCAUUGGUUCUCAGCUCUUUUUGAUCCGGUGCAUUUCUCGUCAAGUUGACUCGACCCUCUUCAUCUUUGAGUUCAAUCCUCAGUUGUUUUCUUUCCCACCCGCCCACCCUUCUUCUUCUCGGAACCGGAGUCCGUAAUCGAGUAUCCAUCCUACUCGUGCGAAGUCUUUGCUUUCUUUCCUCAGCGAUUUCAACCAGUGUUUUUCUCUUCAAGAUAUUCGUCGUUUCCCCUUCUAAGUUGCCUUUGUUUUCCCGCCCUCCCACCCUCUUCUUCCCGGAGUCUGAGUCUGUUUCGACCAUCUAUUUCAUUCGUGCGGAGCCUCUUCAGGCUUCCCUCAAUUAUUCUAACCGGUGAAUUCUCGUCUCGGUGGACAUUCUUCAGCUCUUUUUCUUUCCGGUGGAUUCAAUUCAUGUUUUUCGGUGUUGAUCGUAUUUUUUCCCUCGGCUCAAGUGUUUUCCCUGCUUGUUUGUCUCUCACCAUUCAAUCAUUCCGGAGUUCAAGACAUCUCAGGAGAUUCGUCUGUGUUCGUAUUAAUUCGAGGUUGUCACCUCAUUCAAAUAUUUCAAUUGUUCCGGUGCUUCAUCUAUUUGUUCAUCAUCCUUUUCAACGGUGUUUUCUAUUCAGUGGGCCCUAACCCACAGGUCUUUUCCCAGGAUCUUACCUGACUCUUCUAAUUCUCCCGGAGUUAUUCUCAAUUCUUUUCAAGUGUGACGUAAGAAUGGAUUUCAUCAGUCAGAUGUUGUUCCAAGAUCUCGUUCAAAUUCUUUUCAUUGUUGGCUCAAACCCCUUCGUUUUCAUUCUACCGGAGUAUCUCAGUUAUUUUGGUGGUGUUUCCCGUUGUCAUUUGAAGAUCGAAGAAGAGUUUUCCUCCAAAUCAUGUCCGUUCUUCCGAAGAUUCAUGGUUCUAGCUUCAUAUUAUCCUCUCAAAUUAUUCCGUUUGACAGAAGUUAUUUUCAUCCAUCCGGAGUAUGUAAGGGUUGUUUUUCCAUUUCUUUUCACCGGAGGCCUUCGUUCUAGAAGAAUUCUUCGCCCUCAUCAUUCCAGUUUUUCUUUCUUUAAUUAUCCCAGUGUUUCGUUCAAGUGUUCUUUAAUCAGCUCGUUAUCUCUUCGUUCUUUGGCAUCUAAAUCCACUCAAGCAUAUUUGUUCUUCUAAUUCUUCCCGGUGAUUCAGUCUCUUUUAUCAGUCAUUUUCGAAUUCUUACGGUGGUUCGGUCAAGAUUCUUUUUCCUCGAUUAUCAUUUUAAUUCAUUCGUUCUUUUCAAUACUACCGGUGAUUCAUGAGGACUUUCUCAAGUUUUGUGCUAUCCCUUCUCAAUCCUUUUUCAAGAAGAAUAAGUGGUAUGCAAAAUCCAUUGCUUGUCAUCAAUUUAAUUUGAUGAGGAUAAGCAUAACAAAAAUCUUAUUCUUAUUUCAUCCAAGUGAGUAAUCCCUUCCUUCAGAGUUUGUUCUUGAUGAAUAAAUUCUAGUUCCAAGUGUUUUCAUCUUUUUCUUUCCGGAGUUCAACUUUCAUUGGCCAUUUCGUCGGAACCUCCAUCUAAAUCGUCUCAAGGCUUUAAUCUCAUUCUUUAUUCCUUCAUUCUAUCUCGUCAUCCUUUUUGUUUACCGGAGUUCUUCAUGGUGGUUCUUCAUGAUUUAAUUCAUUCUUCAAGAGUUAAUCAAGUAUCUUUCCAUCCUCUAAAGUUUGUGUUCUUUUCAUUCCAUUUUCAGCAGGAGUGCUGCCUAAAUCCUUUCAAUCUUAUUAGUUUCUUAUCUCGUUCUAACCGGAGUGGUUUCAUAGUCUAUAUGAUUCCGUGAGCUUUCGAUUCUCGUCAUUCUCGUCGUUCCUCUCUUCUUCUCGAGUGCUCUCGAUUCUUUGCUUCUUCUCUUCAGUUCUUUUUCACCUCUUCCUUUUCCCUUCCGUAUCGGUCCUAAUAUCUCGGGACGACAUCUCUUGUUAGUGGAGGAGUGUUGUAAUGCCCCGGAUCCGAUGCGCCAGGUGUCUGCCAGUUAUUCGCCGUUGUUGCCAUGUCAUUUGCUUGUGUGUUGCAUUUUAUCAUGUCAUCAUGUGCAUUUCAUUUUGCAUGCGUGUUCGUCUCAUGCAUCCGAGCCUUUUCCCCGUUGUCCAUUUUGCAAUCCGGCGCUCCUAUGCCCUCCGGCGUUCCCCUUUCGUCUCUCGUUGUGAGCGGGUGUUAAACGUUCUCGGAAUGGACCGAGUCUUGCCAAGCGGCCUUGGUAUACCACCGGUAGACCGCCUGUCAAGUUUCGUGUCAUUUGGAGGUCGUUUGAUACUCCAACGGUUAACCGGGUAACCGUAAAGCCCCUCUCUCUUUGUAGCCCAACACCUCUUCCAAACUGGCCCAAAACCCAUCUAACUCCCCUCCAUGCUCUCGGUCGUUCGAUCACGAUCGCGUGGCCGAAAACCGCUCCUCAUUUGGACUCGCCUAGCUCCCUCUAUCUAUAAAUAGGUCCUCCCCCCCCCUCAAAAUUCGCGGAUGAUUCCUCCCGAAAUCCUAAAAAUCCCCUCUCCGCGCACCGGACAUGUCCGAUCUGGGCCGGACAAUGUCCGCCGCCGCCGCCCCGGCCAAUCCGCGGCCGCCACGGUGGCGCCGCCGUCUCCCGCGCCGCCGGCCCGCCCGGNNNNNNNNNNNNNNNNNNNNNNNNNNNNNNNNNNNNNNNNNNNNNNNNNNNNNNNNNNNNNNNNNNNNNNNNNNNNNNNNNNNNNNNNNNNNNNNNNNNNNNNNNNNNNNNNNNNNNNNNNNNNNNNNNNNNNNNNNNNNNNNNNNNNNNNNNNNNNNNNNNNNNNNNNNNNNNNNNNNNNNNNNNNNNNNNNNNNNNNNNNNNNNNNNNNNNNNNNNNNNNCUCCACUUCCGAGCUCCUCCGUCGCCGGACCCCGCCUCCACCAGACCCCGCCGCCGGUCGCCCUUCGGCGCCCCGGCCUCGUCGUCGCCUGGAUCCGGGGGCGCCAUGCCCGGAUCUGGCCGCCCCCGCCGCCGUCCUGCCGCCCCUUCGCCGCCCCACCCUUCCCGGAGUCGCCGCCGCCCUUGCCCCGAUCCAGGCGGGAUCGGGAGGACCAGCAUCCGCUCAUGGGCCCCGCCCGGCCCAUCCGUGUCCGGCCCAGCCCCGGCCUGCUGCCUCCCAGGCCCAAGCCGGCCUGCCUCCUUCCCCUUCUGGGCCUGGCCCGCUAGGUGAGCCCGCCUAAAACCCGCCCGGUCACGUCUUAGUUAUAUUGCGCUGUUCCGGUUUUUUUCAAAAAAAUGACUAAGUCCCAGAUUUUUGUCAUUAUCAUGCCAUAUUCAUCACGUCGUAUGUCUGCAUCCGUAGCUCCGUUUUGCGCGUGUAAUAUGUCAAAUUGUUCGUCUCAAUGAGUAAUCAUUUCAUUACAUUGCAUCAUGUUCAUUUGAGGUCAUCUAGAUACCUGAAUCAUCGUUGUAAGAGUGCUUCAUAAUGUUUUCUGCUGUCUGUUAACAGAACGAGCUCUUUUGUCAUUUUUGCCAUGUUUGAUGCGUGCAUCCUAUGAGGUUGAUGUCUACAUGUGUUUUGAUCUAUGCCAUGUCUUAUUUACAGUGGUGUUCACCAUGUAUUUUUGUGAUCAAUGUGGUGACAAGCACAAGCAUGCAAACUAGGCAUCGUGAUGUUGCUGAUUUUAGUCCCUGUUCUGCUGUUAUUUUGAUGCCAUGUAAACUUGAUGCUACAGAGAGAUCCAUGCAUAUUUUGAGAUACUUCAGUAAGGAUGUUUUGAACAUAUGGUUAUUGUCUAUCCAUUCAUGCCCUUUGUUGCAAUUAUGGAGUAGUCUAGCAUGUCAUUUUCGUGCUCUACUUUUGCUUCAAAAUGUUUCCUGACAGAUUGUUUACUUGUUAUUCAAUUUUGCCAAGGUUGCUAUAGUUUAUCCUUGCAUGCUAUAGACCUGUUCUUGACUUGGUUUGUUUCACAAACAUGUCUUCUUGAUGAUGCUAUGCUUAUCUUGUCAUGCAAUGACUUGUGGUGAGUGAAUCGAGCUUGUUAAGUAGGGUACAUUAUGUUGCUGUUUUGCUAGGCUAAAUCUGUUAUUUCGUGAUGCUAUAUAAACAUGUUGCUACUAAUCAUUCUAUGCAUAAUCUGGAGAUGUUCUAUAAACAUGUUUUGAUCUACAUGUCAUCCUCUAUCCAUCCAUGCCCCUGAUUGAAUUUAUAGGUUGAUGUAGCUUGUUGUAAUCUUGCUCUGAAGUUGCUUCAUAAUGUUGCUGUCAGCCUGUUAACAUCAAGUUCAGUUGGUUCCAUGUGUUUUCCUAGUGAUCCAUGCACGCUAUUAACUUGCUAUUGCCAUGCUUAGCUUCACAAAUAUGUUUUCUUACUGUUGGGUGCCUUGCCAUGCCAUGUAUUUCUCUGUAGUGAGUGGUACAAGCUCAUUUACAUGCCUUCAUAAUUCUGUUUCUGCCAUGUAUGGAUCUGUAAUAUAACUUGCUAUGUUUACGUGGGUGCCAUCAAAUUUUGUGAUCCUUUUUGGCUUAUGGUCAGUAAAGGACUUUUGAUCUAUGCUUUGAGUAGAAUCAUGCCAUGCCUUUGUUUGCCAUUAUAAGUUCCUGUAACAUGUUGUUUGAUAGCUCUAAACAUUGCAUCGUGAUGUUGUUUUCUGCAAAGUCUGAAAUUGUUAUAACUUGCAAUCUUACCAUGUGUAUUUGAGCAUGUUCUAGUGAUUUCUGGAGAUAGCUCAGUGUUCAUGUUUUGUUAUGCUUUACCUGUACAUCAUGCCCAUGCCUUUUGUUUUCUUGUUGAGGUGGUGUAGCAUAUUGUUUUGAUGCUUGCAAUAUGCCUAGUUGCUGUUUUGGACAGCUUAUCCUUUAAACUUGUAUAGUGUGUGUAUGUUGAACCGUUGCUCCGAUUUGAGUGUGCUCUAUAUGAAAAUUGCUUGAUUUUGCAUGUAGUUUCAUAUUAUCAUGUUGCAUCCUUGUUUUGAGGUGUUUGCUUGAUGUUUGUAUGUAUUUUGCAUCGAUGCCAUGUCUAACUUGUUUUGCUCAUAUCUUCUAGGCCGUAACUCCGAACUAAAUGAACUUCAUAUGUAAAUUGACUAGAAUCUCGUGUAGAUCAUCCUUGUGCAUUUUAACUUGCUGUUUAACAACUUGAAUAUAAGGUUUAUUCAGAUCUGGACCAAUUUCGAAAUAUGCAUAUGAGGACUUACCGGAAUUGUUAUAUGUUGUUCCCGGCCUCAUUUAAACUUGCCUUGAUGUGUUGCUCUUGUUUGCAUCAUCCCUUGCCAUGAGUAGCUUCAUGUAGUCUUGUCAUGCAUCAUGCUUGUUGUGCAUCAUGUCAUGUUCAUGUGUGGUGUGUUUACCGUGGUGUGUGCUUCUUCUUGUUAGUUCCUGUUUCGUUGCGAUCGUGAGGAUUCGUUCGUCUACACUUGGUUCGGCUUCAUCCGUUCGUCUUCUUCAUGGACUCGUUCUUCUUCCUUGCAGGAUUUCAGGCAAGAUGACCGCUACCCUGGAUCUCACUACUAUUAUUGCUAUGCUAGUUUCUUCGUUCUAUCGCUAUGCUGCGUUACCUAUCUUUUGCUCUUCAAGCCUCCCAUAUUGCCAUGAACCUCUAACCUUUGACACCUUUCCUAUUCAAACCGUUGUUUGGCUAUGUUACCGCUUUGCUCAGCCCUCUUAUAGCGUUGCUAGUUGCAGGUGAAGUUGAAGAUUGCUCCAUGGUGGACAGGAUUUUGGUUGGGAUAUCACAAUAUCUCUUAUAUUAUUAAUGCAUCUAUAUAUUUGGUAAAGGGUGGAAGACUCGGCCUUUUGCCUGGUGUUUUGUUCCACUCUUGCCGCCCUAGUUUCUGUCAUACCGGUGUUAUGUUCCUGGAUUUUGCGUUCCUUACGCGGUCGGGUGAUUUAUGGGACCCCCUUGACAGUUCGCUUUGAAUAAAACUCCUCCAGCAAGGCCCAACAUUGGUUUUACCAUUUGCCUCACCACCACCUACUUUUCCCUUGGGAGUCGCUAUCUCGAGGGUCAUCUUUAUUAUAGCCCCCCCGGGCCAGUGCUUGUCUAAGUGUUGGUCCAAACUAGAGCACCGUACGGGGCCAUCCCUUUGCAACUUGGGUUACGUCGGUUCUUGUACGCUUCGCUUAUCCGGUGUUGCCCUGAGAACGAGAUAUGUGCAGCUCCUAUCGGGAUUGUUGGCGCAUCGGGCGGUCUUGCUGGUCUUGUUUUACCAUUGUCGAAAUGUCAUGUAAACCGAGAUUCCGAGUCUGAUCGGGUCUUCCUGGGAGAAGGUCUAUUCCUUCGUUGAUCGCGAGAGCUUAUCGUGGGCUAAGUUGGGACACCCCUGCAGGGUAUAAUAUUUUGAAAGCCGUGCCUGCGGUUAUAGGCAGAUGGGAAUUUGUUAAUGUCCGGUUGUAGAUAACUUGACACCAGAUCCGAAUUAAAACGCAUCAACCGCGUGUGUAGCCGUGAUGGUCUCUUUUCGGCGGAGUCCGGGAAGUGAACACGGUUUCUGGGUUAUGUUUAAUGUAAGUAGGAGUUCAGGAUCACUUCUUGAUCAUUGCUAGUUUCACGACCAUUCCGCUUGUUCUCUUCUUGCUCUUGUUUGCGUAUGUUAGCCAUCUUAUCAUGCUUAGUCGCUGCUGCAGCCUCACCACUUUACCCCUUCCUUUCCUUUAAGCUUUGCUAGUCUUGAUACCCAUGGUAAUGGGAUUGCUGAGUCCUCGUGGCUCAUAGAUUACUACAACAACAGUUGCAGGUACAGGUUCAUGCGAUGAUCAUGACGCGAGAGUGAUGCUUGCUUGCGUUGAGUUCUUCUUCUACUUCUUCGAUCAGGGGAUAGGUUCCAGGUCGGCAGCCUGGGCUAGCAGGGUGGAUGUCAUUUGAGUUUCUGUUUGUGUUUCAUCCGUAGUCGGAUGGUGCUCUGAUGUAUCAUGAUGUUGUAUUCGUGUGGCUUUGUAUGUCUUAUGUAUGUAUCCCCAUCUAUUUUGUAAUGUUGAUGUAAUGAUAUCCACCUUGCAAAAGUGUUUCAAUAUGCGGGUCUAUCCUUGGUGGGACCUUCGAGUUCCUUUCGGAUAGGGUCGCAUAUUGGGCGUGACACAACAUAUUCAACUCAGAGGCUUGCUAAGUUAUACCUCUCUCGAAUUGUUUGCCUACACGGAGUACCCAAGACCAUAGUCUCUGACAGAGGAACUCAGUUUGUCUCAAGGUUUUGGGAUCACCUGCAGCAGGCCCUAGGAGCGCAACUGGUUUUCGGUACGGCAUAUCACCCACAAACAGGGGGACAGACUGAACGGGUAAACCAAAUAUUGGAAGACAUGCUGAGAACUUUUGUUCUUACUUAUGGAGCAAGUUGGGAGGAUAGCCUGCCAUAUGCGGAAUUCUCAUACAACAAUAGUUAUCAGGCAAGUCUAAAGACGUCACCCUUUGAAGCAUUGUAUGGCCGAAGAUGCCGUACCCCACUCAAUUGGUGUGAAACCGGGGAUAGCCGAAUUUUUGGCCUGACAAUUCUCAAGAAAGCAGAAACAAAAGUGAAACUUAUUCAGGACAGACUGAAAAUAGCUCACAGCCGGUAGAAAAGCUAUUAUGACCCGAAACAUCGUCAGGUCAGUUUUGAACUUGACGAGUAUGUGUACCUCAGGGUAUCCCCAAUGAGAGGACUACAGAGAUUUAAGGUCAAAGGAAAGCUAACACCGCGGUUUGUGGGACCAUUUAGAAUAAUUGCAAGGAGAGGCAAGGUUGCCUACCAACUAGAGCUACUAGCAGAAUUGUCAGAUGUUCAUGACGUGUUCCAUGUGUCACAACUAAGGAGAUGCGUUAGCAACCCGUACAAACAAGUCCAACACCAGGACCUGGAUCUUCAACCAGACCUUGCAUAUAAGGAGUGCCCGAUAAAAAUCUUGGAGGAGUCUGAAUGGAGGACCCGGCAAAGUGUGACAAAAUUUUACAAGGUUCAGUCGAGCAACCAUACCGAGGAAGAAGCAACUUGGGAAAGAGAGGAUCACCUCAGGACUGAAUAUCCGUACCUAUUUGAGGGACAGCUGAAAUCCCGAGGACGAGAUUUAUCUUAAGAGGGGUAGGUGUUGUAACACCCCAAAGUUAUCCCUUCGUUUUUAAAUGGUUUCUUUAUUUGGAUGAGUCUUUGGUUUGGUUAUAUAUUUUUUGUUCUAAUAUCAAAAGCAUUUCUUUUGUUAGAAUAAUUUUUGUGGCACUUCACCCUUUUCAAACACUUCUAACUCAUCCCAAAAAUCUAUUCUGUCACUCUAAAUUCCCAUCCUAGUCUUCCUCACUUUCUAGGACAGUGUCCAACACCUCACUUCUCCACAAAAAUAUUUUUCCUCAUAUUCAAUAAAUUCCCAAAGUGGAAUUUAUAUUAUCGAGGUUUCUUUGGUUUACAAAGGAACCACAUUCUAGGUGACUCUUUUGCAUCCACAAGGAUUACACCAACAACUAGACAUCACCCAAAACCCAUUUCACCAAAAAAAUUGGGUUCCACAGUUCAAAUUUUUUAAAUUCCAUGCAAUUCAAAUUUGGACCAGAUUCACAUUUCAUGGUCAAAACCCAAUUUUCCUUGCUCCAAAAAAUCUGAGAUUUGGCCAGACACUCUCUUAUGCAUAGAAACAUCACCACAAAUAUCCUCAGAAUUUUCUAAAAUGCCUAGAGCUCUCUGGCAUUUUAUCAAACACCUGCCAUGCACUGUUCACCACUAUCAAAAGUUUCAGUAAGAUUCAGAGGUAACAGAAGUUCAGAGAGAGAGGGAGAUCGAUGUCGUGCACUUCUCCUCUUCCACUUCCCCGCACGGUGUUGUCUACCUGAGGCAUAAAUGAGAUGCCAGGACCCCUCUGGUCAGUGCCUCGCCGCCGACCAGCACAAUGGCUGGCCGGUGCACCUGCCAUCGCCCUCGGCAGCGGCGGCUGAGCAGAUCAGCUCACCGACCAGUGCCUUCACUCCCCUACUGCUCCCCUUCCUACCACCUCUCCACGCGGCACCUCUUCUGUGGCGUUGACCCACCGCCCAAUCCGCCCCGCGCCUGGCUGGCAGUAGCCGGAGCCGAUCGCCGCAGCCACACCCGCGCGGACACUUCGCCUUGGAUAAGGCCGUAGGACUCACCUCCGCCCACGAUAGUGCUUCUGGAUUAUUCCCUCGACCUCAUCCACUCCUCACCACCCCCGACCGCCGUCCAAACCUACCUCGUUGGCCGGAAUAACUCCGACGUGAUCCACUCCGCCAGUGAACUGCUCGGACCGCCUAUAAAAGGCCACCCCGAGCCUCGUUCAUCACCCACACCACUCCACCACCAUCCCAAUCUACCUCCCGCACACCACCUCGACCUCGAGAAGGUCUUCUUCCCCGGCUCCGACUACCGAUCCGCCGCCACCCUCCCCGAUCAGCACGACACCACCACUCCACCCCCACCUCCAAAAAUCAGCCAGUAGCCCACUGAUCCACCAUGAGAUCAUUUCCGCGCUUCAAUUUGACAACCGGAGCCCUCUCCGGCGAAGCCCACAACCACCCGACGCCGCCGUCCACCGGAGUCGACCUCGCUGUCG